UACGUAGGAGACGAGCGUUGUCCGGAGUUACUGGGCGUAAAGGGUGCGCAGGCGGCCUGGCGCGUCGCGAGUGAAAUCUCCUGGCUCAACUGGAAGGGUGGUCGCGAGACGGCUGGGCUUGAGGCUCGGUGAGGGGCGUGGAAUUCCGGGUGGAGCGGUGAAAUGCGUAGAGAUCCGGAGGAACACCGACGGCGUAGGCAGCGCCCUAGACGAGACCUGACGCUCAGGCACGAAAGCGCGGGGAGCGAACAGG
rnacentral:rRNA from 1 species